CAGUCGCCACGGUAAUACGUAGGGUGCAAGCGUUAAUCGGAAUUACUGGGCGUAAAGCGUGCGCAGGCGGUUAUAUAAGACAGAUGUGAAAUCCCCGGGCUCAACCUGGGAACUGCAUUUGUGACUGUAUAGCUAGAGUACGGCAGAGGGUGAUGGAAUUCCGCGUGUAGCAGUGAAAUGCGUAGAUAUGCGGAGGAACACCGAUGGCGAAGGCAAUCCCCUGGGCCUGUACUGACGCUCAUGCACGAAAGCGUGGGGAGCAAACAGGAUUAGAUACCCGGGUAGUCCCUGUCUCUUAUAC
rnacentral:rRNA from 1 species